rnacentral:rRNA from 1 species
AGUGAACGCUGGCGGUAGGCCUAACACAUGCAAGUCGAACGGCAGCACAGUAAGAGCUUGCUCUUACGGGUGGCGAGUGGCGGACGGGUGAGGAAUACAUCGGAAUCUACUUUUUCGUGGGGGGUAACGUAGGGAAACUUACGCUAAUACCGCAUACGACCUACGGGUGAAAGCAGGGGAUCUUCGGACCUUGCGCGAUUGAAUGAGCCGAUGUCGGAUUAGCUAGUUGGCGGGGUAAAGGCACACCAAGGCGACGAUCCGUAGCUGGUCUGAGAGGAUGAUCAGACACACUGGAACUGAGACACGGUCCAGACUCCUACGGGAGGCAGCAGUGGGGAAUAUUGGACAAUGGGGGCAAGCCUGAUCCAGCCAUACCGCGUGAGUGAAGAAGGCCUUCGGGUUGUAAAGCCAUUUUGUUGGGAAAGAAAAGCAGCAGGUUAAUACCCCGAUGUUCUGACGGUACCCAAAGAAUAAGCACCGGCUAACUUCGUG